AGAAAAUGAAAGAAACAUUAACCAGAGAAAUCGAACCAAUCACUUUUCUCCUCCUCCCUCUUCUUCCUGUUAUUUUUCUUCUUCUUCCUCUUCUUCUUUUU
rnacentral:ribozyme from 13 species